GUUAAAAUGUUGACCUUGAUGCAGAAUAAAAAGGUGGAAACAUUUUCUGUACCUAAUUGAGGUUGUCAAUAUUUUUCAAUACAAAAUUAAGGGAUAAAGAUGGAAACGAGAACGUGUUGUGUUAAGAUUUGUUUGGGUUAUUUCAUGAUGUGGAUGUUUACUUUUCGAGGCUAUGACUGUCAUACUUAAUGUAAUAAGAAAAAAACUAAUUUUCAAAAUAUCGACAAAUGUUCACACCUCUACCAUCUUGUGGUUAUCGCAGCUGUCAAUUCUAAAUAACUAUCCAUAUGUCAACUUUUGAAAUGGUUCGCUCUCUCGGUUAAAUUUUUCCAUUCAAGAGAAAAUAACUUUCGAACUGUCAAAUUUUAACUAAAGGUUAAAAAAAAUCGCCAAAUGGUUCACAGCCUUAGUGGAGUGAUCGUAGCGAAGCACUUGAUACAAAAAGUAAAAUAUGGAACACCUUCAGAAAGUAUACGCUAUUGCAUAGCAAACAGAAAAUUGGGAAUGCGAUGGGCCUCUUCGUGGCCAAAGGGAGCGUAUGUAGGUCAUGGCAACAAAAACUAUACAGUUCUAUGCAAAUCAUUUCAAUGACAAGGUUUUUGAAGUUAUUAUAUUAUAUUAUUGAUUAACCCGGUCCUGCCGUCACAACUUCUGUUGCUUGGUUACCUGAUGACAUGACGGAAUCGAGCGUGAGCUACCCACUACCGUCCUGCCAGGGCCCAGGGGAACAUGAAAAUCGAAGUUGUUCGAAUCAUUUUCUCGAUGUAGCCAUCCCUCGAUGAGUUUGGUUAAAAUGGAACAGUAUGCGCGAUCAGAACAUGACCGCUCUCAGGAACUUUUACAAAUCGGAGGAAAUAUUUCUGAAUUCUUUGAGGUUACAACGAAAUGGUCAAAUCCACUCUGAAUGGGGAAUUUUUUGUAACGAUUCAAAUAUUUUGCUACCACCUACUGAAACACCGGAAUCAGCUUUACUCGGCGAUUACCCUACGGAGAAGUAGAAAAGGCAGCUCGCGCCAUUCGUGUAUUCUUUAUUUUGCGAAGGAUGUGCCAAAGUAUUACCGGGGAAAAAGAAACUCAACUGUCACUGACAAACCUAAGCCAGUGUGUACAAGUAGAUAAAGCACUGAAUUUAAGCAAUGCGUUUUGUACUACUAGAAAAAGAUUGAUUGGUGUAAAAGUAUUGAUAAUUCCAGACAACAGCGACCUAAUAGCAUGCACCGUCAUGAUGGUACAAAAUAUCGUCGAUUUCUCGUGAUGGAUAUUCUGCAGCCCAUCCUGGUUGAACCAGACAGUAAAUGAUUAGAAUGGGGUGUUUCCAAAUUCGUUGGAUUCUUCCUGCAGCAGGACGUGGAAGUAAACGGAGAUAAAGAAGACUCGAGAUGUUUGCAUUUAACUAUUCAUCGCGAUGAUGCGAACAAUCGAACACCACUUUCGGCAAAGUUUAUGUUUAAUGAUCACAUUCGUUGCGUGGGGACCAAACAAAGGCUCACAAAAGGUCGCAGUAAAGCGCGUCAUAAGAAAAUGUUUCAAAUUGCUCAACUCUUGGAUGUACCCGGUCAAAUGAACGACACUUCUUUUCCGGUACUAGGGGAUCUUGUGGAUCUCCCAUAUGCGGUGCAAUGUUAAGGUUGAACAGAAAAUGGGCAAAAAUCGAAAACGAAAGAAGCAGCUUUUUCCACACCGUCCGUUUGAUUCACAAAAAUCAAUCAGCAGUACUGUCACAACAUUCUACAUAAGCUGAUUGAUUUUUUUAAAGAUCUAACACACGGUGUGGAGAAAAACUGCGUUUUUCGUUUUCGAUUGCUGCCCAUUCUCUGUCCAACCAGGAGCUGGACGUGAACAGAGGGAACAUCGUCCUUUGUUUUCUACAGCAAACAGUGUAGCAGAUGUAGCAGCUGCUUUGAGAAGAGAUGGCAAGCCAUCCGGAAGCGUCAGUACGGUUCAAAUCAAUUUCAGCCGUUCCAUCGAUGGUGAUGCUACCGGAGCACGUCGUAAGAACUCCAAUCACGCAUGUCGAGAAAGCAGUCAGUCAAUCGCAGUUACCUCAACAAAACCACGCGAUUCAUCCAAUAAUCGCUCUGGUACGCCUCGGUCGCUAGAAUCAAGCCCUCGUGUUCCUAGGCCACGAUCGGAAGAGAUUACUUUAGAACGACCUCCGCCGUUCACAGAACUCCAGCCCUGCUUGUAUGGUUCAUCAAACGCAACUUUUCGCUCUUAUAUACCUUCGCGUCUAAGUCUCGAACCAACUGGUGUGUUCUUAACCCUAACACGGAAGCGAAGCAAAAAGUCGUAUAAAGCAGGUCAACGUUCUCCUCUCAUAUGAGCUAAUUCUUUGAAAAGAGGUAUCAGAUGUUCUAUUUAGUGUGAAUAUAAACUGUUAUUAAGCAAGAAUCAUCAACUCUGUAUGUUAUAUGCACCACCUUUUCAAUUAAAUUUGACAAAUGUGUUAGUUUGCGAAACGGUUAGAUAGGUAUCUCGAAAAAGAGAUUGUUGGGAACUUAUAGGACCAAAAAGAUACCGUAUCCCCUAUGUUGAUAUUAAAUUUGUAUAUAAACUGAAAGGGACUUUGGUAUUAAAGCUCUUAACUAGACUUAGACCUACUUAUCUGCACACUCCUAGUAAUGCCCCUGUUGAAAUACAGAAAACCUAAGUUAAUAAAAUAGGGAAUAGGUAGACGAGUGAAGGCAUAACUUUUCUAUAUGAGAAAAGUACAAAUGCCAACCAACCCAGUUCAAAAAAGUCAAGUUGUGAUUAAAAAAUGUUUUUUUUUUUCGAGAUUAUCUCAAAUUUCGACUUUUCAUGCAUUUUGAAGACAUUUGGCACCAAAAUAAUUUUAAAUUUUAAUUUUAAUAAGUUUUGCGUCAUUUAAGCUGUACGCACACGAAGCGACAGGAUACACACCACAAAAAAUAUGAGAAAAAGAGGUAACGUUUUUGCCACAUACAUACAUACACACACAUAUAUAUAAAUAUAUAUAUAUCUCGAUCCCUACAAACUGAGUCGAAUGGUAUAUGACACUCGGUCCGGGAUGGGAUAAGCUUCACGAUAUGAACAGUAAUGGCAUAACCUUCCUAGACUAGACGAGUCCUUAUUCAUCUCAUUAGUCAGGUUGUCACACUAAUUCGCUGAUAACUCGACAGUGAUUGGAUUGCGCUUAAAUAGGUAUUAAUAUCUUUGCUUCGUAUCUGAGGAACAAUUCCAUAUAAAGUAUGACUUGGAAAAUGUAAAAUACUUGCGUUUGAAUGAAGCGAAAAGUUGAGUACAACGCACCCUUAUUCAUCCUACCAUUUGAACUAAUACGUUGAAUAGAGAUAGCAGACACUACUCUAACUAAUGUGCUCAAAUGGGAGGGAUGAAUAGAGGUGCUAAGAUGAAUUAGUGCACAGUAACCCUAUAUGAGAAAGGCAAAACAGCUCAAUUUGGUGUAUUUGUAUUACUUUUGUUUAUUGGUUUGGUUGACCCAAAUCUUCUUCAGUUGGGUUUAUUUGAUGCGGCUUAAUAAGUUAGUUUGACUCAACA